GGCAGUUCUUGGGUGACACACUCUGGAAUUGGGCUCCCUCCUCUCUGGUACUGGGUUCGUCACCCGAGAACUGCA
rfam:Myotis lucifugus cont2.32143, whole genome shotgun sequence.